CCCUGCGCUAUUUAAAAUCUCAGCGAGCACAAGACCAGAUACGUCGUAAAAACAACGUGUGAAAAAAAACUCUCUAUUUUAUGUGUCGAUUCUGCUGGAACGAAAAUAACGACGAUCAACAUGCUCAGCGAAGUUCGAGGCACAAGACAAAGGGACAUCGAAAUUUCGAGGAAAACUGACGUAAGAAAUUUGCAAACUGAUCCUCCAACCACGUGUUUCGACUUCGAGACUUUUUUCAAAUCGUACCAACAACCGAUCUCGGAGAAUCGACGUGCGAGCUUCGGACCCACUCAUAACCUCAAAAUUCUACGAGUGUAAUUACCGACACGGCGGCGUCUUCACUGAAGGAAGGAUGUUUGAGUUGGCCGCGCCUACGUACGCGAGAGUUUCUCGUAUUUUAAUGUAAGACGAGAAGAGAACCGCGAUCAUAUGUGCAAAGCGGAGAGAGAGAGAGAGAGAGAAGGAGUGAAACGGCAUCGAAGAUUUGACACCUCUCGCCCUGAGAUUGACAAUUCUCAUGAAACCCCCAUUCUCAUUGCCGCGAUAAGACGGAAUAGAAAAUAGUCCGAAACGCGGUUGCUUUCCGUCAGAGGUUAUUUCGAAUUUUUUAUCGAAAUUGACCAAUUUCGGCGUCAAGAUGCUGCAGCAUCGCUCCGCAUCGUCGUCGGACGAAGACGAAGGGAUCGAAGGAAUCGAUAGAUUCGGUCCUGUUUUGCGUCUGGCCUACAAAAGUCUCGGCGCAAGGGUUGAAUUUGGCGUAUUGAAAAA